rnacentral:rRNA from 1 species
GAUGAACGCUGGCGGCGUGCCUAAUACAUGCAAGUCGAGCGAACAGACGAGGAGCUUGCUCCUCUGACGUUAGCGGCGGACGUGAGAGUAACACGUGGAUAACCUACCUAUAAGACUGGGAUAACUUCGGGAAACCGGAGCUAAUACCGGAUAAUAUAUUGAACCGCAUGGUUCAAUAGUGAAAGACGGUUUUGCUGUCACUUAUAGAUGGAUCCGCGCCGCAUUAGCUAGUUGGUAAGGUAACGGCUUACCAAGGCAACGAUGCGUAGCCGACCUGAGAGGGUGAUCGGCCACACUGGAACUGAGACACGGUCCAGACUCCUACGGGAGGCAGCAGUAGGGAAUCUUCCGCAAUGGGCGAAAGCCUGACGGAGCAACGCCGCGUGAGUGAUGAAGGUCUUCGGAUCGUAAACCUCUGUUAUUAGGGAAGAACAAAUGUGUAAGUAACUAUGCACGUCUUGACGGUACCUAAUCAGAAAGCCACGGCUAACUACGUG